rnacentral:rRNA from 1 species
CCUACGGGUGACAGCAGUGAGGAAUAUUGGUCAAUGGCCGGGAGGCUGAACCAGCCAAGUCGCGUGAGGGAAGACGGCCCUACGGGUUGUAAACCUCUUUUGUCAGGGAGCAAGGUGCAGGUCGGGACCUGCUGUGAGAGUACCUGACGAAAAAGCAUCGGCUAACUCCGUGCCAGCAGCCGCGGUAAUACGGAGGAUGCGAGCGUUAUCCGGAUUUAUUGGGUUUAAGGGGUGCGCAGGCGGAGGCACAAGUCAGCGGUAAAAUCGCGGGGCCCACCCCCGCUGCGCCGGGGAAACUGUGUGCUGGGAGUGCGCGAAGGGUAGGCGGAAUGCGUGGUGUAGCGGUGAAAUGCAUAGAUAUCACGCAGAACUCCGAGCGCGAAGGCAGCCUACCGGCGCGCAACUGACGCUCAUGCACGAAAGCGUGGGUAUCGAACAGGAUUAGAUACCCUUGUAGUC